GCUUUAAUACUCUAAAUUUCUUUGUACAGAUGUAUGUCAAAUGCAAUUUUCAAGUGGAUUGUCUGGAAGCUUAUGAUGUCAGAGGUGAACUGGUUUAUGAUUUAAUUUGUUUGGCAGUGGCAGAGUCUAUUUGUGGUAAAGACUGCUCAGGUUAAAUGGGUAAGCAAGUUUGUGUGAGUUGGCAUGCAAGAAUUGUGAACUGACCAAAAGGGUGCAGGUGUCACUUAUUAAAUUAAAAUGUAACAUGACUUCCAUUACAUAUGUUGUUGUAGCCUACAUUGUGUGCUAUAUUUAGGCUAUUGUUUUAUGGACGUCUAGCCUACUUGCUGCCAGUUAGAUAGGCCUAUGUUAACUUUAGUUCUUUGAUCACUUGUAUCACUUAGAUUUUAUAGACUAGUUAAGUAGCUGCUAUUUUGUCAACAUUUAAUUGUAGUCAUAUGUCCUUUACCCUGUCUACUGCUCUGGCACAGCCCCUCCGUGCGUAAUCAUAAAUGACAUCAUAUUCAUGACCUCAUUGAACAUGGGGAAAUGGCUGAAGCCUUCUUUAAUACUGUCGUGACCAGUGACUAGUGUAGUCUAUUUUUUUUCGUAUGGAUUAGGUAUAUAUACUUGGUAGAGUGUAAGAAUGAUACAUACCAAACAUACGGAAGUAAAUGUCGGAACCGCUUUCUGGCUAGUUAUUUUCUACCCAUUCAUGAUUCUUGACGCUUCACCGAUCCCGGCGUUGCAUCGGAUUUCCCCGUGUCCUGGUGAGUGCGCAAUGGUUCGGAUCACGUGGGAGGUCCAUUUAAGUUUCCAUUAACAGAGGCCUCAGUGUGUCACAUGAUGGACAUGAUAUAAUGAAAUGGCAGGGACAGAGAGAGUGUUUCCUGGGCUGAUGAAAAAGAGAGACAAUCUACGCAAUAAUCUGUAAACACGUUGUGGUCAGGAUUACUCCUGCAACACAGAGGACCAGAGCGGUGGACAGGGGCGGCCCCGGGGCGCUCUUGAAUGCGUGCUCCGCGGACGGGACAUGUCGUUUCGUGAUUGCACCUGCCAUAAAACGAAGUACCGAAGGAAGAAUAUUCACGCGAAAGUUCAUGUUUAUUCCACCUUCGCUCUGGAGUAGAAUUUGGUCGUUUUACAACAAUGGACAUGGGCUGUGAAGAAAGCAGGUUGCAGAGAGCAUAGAACCACAGCCUCACAGACCUGUGGUAGGGAGGUUGGCUUGCCCUGAUACCAGUACUUAUGUUGCUACAUGGAUGACCUCAGCGAAGCAGAACGACUGACAUUAUCCACCUCUGCUGCUCACCUGCUGCGCUGCUAUUUGAAAAUGGUGUGGGCACAGAUUUGGAAAUAGAAGCUGGGCAGUGCUCUGUGUCGUCACAGUCAACCAACACAGCGUACAAAGUAAACUUGUUAUACUUCACGUGUGUGGAGUGAAGUGUGGAGAGGGUGGCAGACUUACGCUUCCUGGGGGUCCACAUACAGGACAGUCUAUCCUGGAGUGUGAACACCUCUGAGCUGCUGUAAAAAGGCCCGGCAGAGACUGUACUUUCUGAGAAUACUCAGGAGGAAUAACAUCACACAAAGACUGCUGGUGUCCUUCUACUGAGCCUCCAUUGAAAGCAUGUGGAGGAAAAAGCUCCAGAGGGUCAUCAACACCGCUCAAACGAUUGUUGGCUGCCCUCUCCCCACACUGGAAGACCUACACAGAUCCUGUUGUCUCAAAAAAGCCCAGAACAUCAUAAAAGACACUUCACACCCUGGGCACUCCCUGAUUGAAAUGUUGCCUUCAGGCAGACGGUACAGAUCAAUCAAGGCAAGGACAAACAGACUAAAACACAGUUUCUAUCCAACUGCAAUAACCACUGUUAAUGCUGCCAAAAAAUAAUGUGCACAAUGUUAUGUUAUUUAUUAUGUAAUGACUGUGGGUGUAUGACUGUGUGUGGUUGUUUAUGGUACUGUCUUAGGUAUAUUUAUUCUUAUUUAUUUUAGUAAUUUUAGCACUUGAGUAAUUUGAUCCUUUUUAUUGAUUUUUAAGUCAAUGAAUGAUGCACUGACCGGAAGCACUUUCAUUUUGUUGUACCUGUGACAAUGACAAUAAAGAUCUAUUCUAUU